UCUUGGUCAUUUAGAGGAAGUAAAAGUCGUAACAAGGUUUCCGUAGGUGAACCUGCGGAAGGAUCAUUAUUGAAUAAACUUGAUCAGGUUGUUGCUGGCUCUACUGAGCAUGUGCACACUUGUCAUCUUUACUUUCCCCCACUGUGCACAUAUUGUAGGCCUGGAAUUCUUCUGAUUAUUUUGUAUAGAUUGAGGACUGCUGUGCUUCAGCCAGCUUUUCCUUGGCUUUCCAGGUCUAUGUUUACCUUUACAACCUCUGAAUAUGUUUAGAAUGUUGGAAUAUAAUAUAAUAUACAACUUUCAGCAACGGAUCUCUUGGCUCUCGCAUCGAUGAAGAACGCAGCGAAAUGCGAUAAGUAAUGUGAAUUGCAGAAUUCAGUGAAUCAUCGAAUCUUUGAACGCAUCUUGCGCUCCUUGGUAUUCCGAGGAGCAUGCCUGUUUGAGUGUCAUGAAUCUCUCAACUACAUCAAUCUUUCUGGUUUGGUGUGGCUUUUGGAUGUGGGGGUCUUCUUUUGCUGGCUUCUAUUAAAUGAGGUCGGCUCCCCUGAAAUUUAUUAGUGGUAUCUGAGCAGAGAGACCUACUACAGGUGUGAUAAAUUAUCUACACCUUGGUAAUGCUGCAUGAACAGAUUGUGCUGCUUCCAGUGAAUUAUUUGACAAAUUUGACCUCAAAUCAGGUAGGACUACCCGCUGAACUUAA
rnacentral:rRNA from 1 species